AGCAGAGUAGCUCAGUGGAAAGAGCCCGGGCUUGGGAGUCAGAGGUCAUGGUUUCUAAUCCCAGCUCUGCCA
rnacentral:tRNA from 1 species